rnacentral:rRNA from 1 species
UCGAAACCUGCACAGCAGAACGACCCGCGAACUCGUUUACCAACCCCGAGGGGCGGGGCCUGCUCGGCCCCUCGGAGCCGGAGCGUGCCGCCCCCUCUCCCCGUCAAAAGGGCGAGGGGAAGGCACGGGAUGGCAAGUACCCAAACACCGGCGCGGGUUGCGCCAAGGACCAUGAAUUCUACCGCGCCCCGCGGCCCCGGGAGACCGGGCGCCGCGAGGAUGCGUCGAAAAAUGAAACACAACGACUCUCGGCAACGGAUAUCUCGGCUCUCGCAUCGAUGAAGAACGUAGCGAAAUGCGAUACUUGGUGUGAAUUGCAGAAUCCCGUGAACCAUCGAGUCUUUGAACGCAAGUUGCGCCCGAAGCCAUCCGGCCGAGGGCACGUCUGCCUGGGCGUCACGCAUCGCGUCGCCCCCUCCCCCUCCGCGGAGUGGAGAGAGGGCGGAUUUUGGCCCCCCGUGCGCCCCCGCGCGCGGUCGGCCUAAACACGGAGCCCGUGGCCGCAAGCGCCGCGACGUAUGGUGGUUGAAUCCUAAGCAUCGCGUCGCGCGCAGGAGCGUGCCCGGACCGCUCGAAGGACCCUUAGGCGCAUCAGCCUACCCUUGCGACCCC